rnacentral:miRNA from 1 species
UUUAGUUUCCUCCAAUAUCUUA